rnacentral:lncRNA from 1 species
GACGAACUGGCAUGCUGCAGAGAAAGCGCAAUGCUACGCGCAGGAAGGGGAUUGAUGCGCUGAACUGGAAACCCAUGAUGGAGGCAAAUGCAUGAAACGUUCGUGCUGCAAGCAAUUUUGGAGGUAGAGGCUGGUCAAUCUUCACGGAUUUCCGCGCUCUGCUGCUUUUGGAGUGACUGGUGCCCGAAGAUUUAUCCAACCAUCCGAAGGACUGCAUUGCUGUAAUUUACGUGUUCAAAAAUUAAUGCAAAAUGAGAGAUGCAUACUUAUCCUUAUUAAAGUCUUGUUGAAUUUC